rfam:Ovis aries breed Texel chromosome 14, whole genome shotgun sequence.
UCCCUGGUGGCUGAGAUGGUAAAGAAUCUGCCUGCAAUGCAGGAGACCUAGGUUUGAUUCCUGGGUCUGGAAA